UCCCUCCUUUUUUCUCUCUUCUUCGGCCAACCAGACCCCAACAACAUUUCUCCAUCAUUUCCGACCAAACAACCAUUAUCAGUUCACUAAUCCAAACGACCAACAAUGGUGAACCACCAAUAAAAUGAAAAACUUCCAAAUCUUUAUCGUUUUCAAUGAAUGUUAGAGAAUUUCACUGAUACAAAUGAAGAUCUGAUGAGAUCUAAUGGAAAACGUUUAUCUUCUCCAUUAAGUGAAUUCUACGAAAUCUAUGUAUCUACAAAUUUUCAUGUUGUUGAAUCUAAGGCGGGAUGGGAAAGAACAUGAAGGUACAUCAUAGGAUCGAUUAAAAAGUACAAAUAUUAUGUAUUAUACUAAUUUUGUGUAUAGAUACAUAAGAAUGAUAUAUUUGAUUGAAAAUAUGACAAAAACUAUGUAUUGAAAUGCAUUUUUGUAUUAGUGAUACAUAAGACUUACAUAUCAGAAUGAGAUCUGUGUUACUGAUACAUAAGAAUUUAAUUGAUUAGUUAUGUACCCAAAGGUGAUUAUCCGGCACAAUGGGAUGUAUCCGACUGCUUCAAAAUUAGGAAUUUUAUAUAAUUUAGAAAAAAG
rnacentral:lncRNA from 1 species